rnacentral:rRNA from 1 species
UACGUAGGGUGCAAGCGUUUGUCCGGGAAUUAUUGGGCGUAAAGAGCUCGUAGGCGGUUUGUCACGUCGGCUGUGAAAACCCGAGGCUCAACCUCGGGCCCUGCAGUCGAUACGGGCAGACUAGAGUAUGGCAGGGGAGACUGGAAUUCCUGGUGUAGCGGUGAAAUGCGCAGAUAUCAGGAGGAACACCGGUGGCGAAGGCGGGUCUCUGGGCCAUAACUGACGCU